rnacentral:rRNA from 1 species
UACGGUAGGGCGCAAGCGUUGUCCGGAAUUAUUGGGCGUAAAGGAGCUCGUAGGCGGUUUGUCGCGUCUGCUGUGAAAACCCGAGGCUCAACCUCGGGCCUGCAGUGGGUACGGGCAGACUAGAGUGCGGUAGGGGAGAUUGGAAUUCCUGGUGUAGCGGUGGAAUGCGCAGAUAUCAGGAGGAACACCAAUGGCGAAGGCAGAUCUCUGGGCCGUAACUGACGCUGAGGAGCGAAAGCAUGGGGAGCGAACAGG